rnacentral:lncRNA from 12 species
AUGGCUGGAGAGCUGCUUGGAUGGACAGGUGAGAGGAUGGCAGCUGCAGGCAUUCUUCAGCUUGUCCCCAGUGGAGCCAAGGGGCCCGAGGGCCGCGAGAGGGGGAGGAGAGAGACCUCAUCACCAGACAAGCGCUGGCGGCCUAGAGACCCCAGGCUGGCUUCCCAGCGCGCGCCAGCUCACUCAAGAUCGGCUUCAGCGGCGCAGGACUCUAGGGUGCGGGGGCACCAAGGGGCGCCUGCAGGGCGGUGGGGGGAGCGGCAAAGCGGUAGGACAACCCGGGAAAGCCCUGGAGGGCUGAGAAGGCUGCGCAGCCUCCACUUCAAAGCGCCUUUCCGAGGCUCUUCCGGAGCUGGCUGGUGCAGAAGCCAGGGCCCUCCUCCGCGGAGCCACCGCCCUCUGGUGGCAGCGUACAGAGGUUACGGCUGCUCCCUCGGCCCCGCCUCCCCGCGCAAGGCUGGACGGCGGAGGUGCCACUCACGCAUCCUGCAAGCAGGAGGCCCCUAGCGAGCUCCCACUGGAGACCUGAAACCUGCCAAAAGGGGAAGUCAGGCUCGGGUGAUCCGGGGCUGGAACCUGAGGUUCUGGAUAGCCCGCCCAACUGAUGACGCUUCCAGCCACCUCUGCUAAUUGUAAAAGCAAAAGGCACCAGACAAUGAAGAUUUUAUUUAAAAAUGUUUCUUUGGCGAGGAUCGCCUCAAAGGAAAGGGAUGGGGGCCUGGGGUUUUAGAAAGGCAGGUAAACGGGGGGGAGUCAUCAGCAAGUCCUGGGGGGGGUAGUAAGAAAGGAUGGAGAUGGGUUUUUCUGGGCAGAGCAAGGGGGUCCCCCGUGCAGUUAGCUGGUUGCCCAGAACUUAAAGGGGUUGGGCCUUUUCUUAACCAUCGCUGCCUUCCGGGAGCCAGGAUUCAGGUGAAGCUCCGCGUUGCUGUGACAGAGGGAGCAUGCUGCAGAAUGGCCCUUUGAGAGCUGGGGAAAGGGGGGUCCGGGUCACCCAUGUGUGUUUUAGUGGCUGAGGCAAGAUCCCAACUUGCAAGUGCCGAGACAGCAAGGUGACCCCAACCCGAAGUUUCACAUCCCUCCAAGAGAAGAACCACAGAGUCACGGGGGAAGGGCUGAGCCCAGCCAGCAGCAGCAGUGAUCUGCUCCAGUCCCCGAUUCUGGCUUUGCAGGCUGUGUCAGAGAAGUGGGGGAUCACCUGGACUACCCCAGGAAGGAGGCGGGAGGGUUCUGAAGGCGCAGGGAAGACCCCAGUCAAGCCUCUGGAAGGGUCAGAACCCCGCAAUUUCGAGACUGGGCUACCUGUCUGCUUCUCCAGGUAUCUGAAUGCCUGUCUCUGACUCCUGGGCACCCACUCAGUUCCCUUUUCCCACCCAGCUUCUUUUUCCCGCCCACGACCUUUGCUCACCGAGGGCUUCAGCUGGUACUGGCCCCUUAUGGCCAUCCCAGCACCACCCUCAGCCCUCAGCCCUAGGGCCCAUCAUCAACUGCAGCUGCAUCCGAAUCUUUGCAGCCUCUCAAAAGACAGCCCACGUCUUCAAGCCAGAGUCACUCACUGUGGCCAACCUGUGCCCUGCUCGGCUUGCUUCUGGAAGGCGGCCCACCCUGGCCCCUCAGUUAUAGGUGGGGGGCUCCAAUGACCUGCUUCUCACAGGGGCUGGGGCAGGACAGCUGCCCUUGGAAGAGUCAGGUGCACUGCACUGAGCUGAAGGAAGUGAGAAAUGACUUAGAAAGACUUGGCAUGCGUCCUGGAACCCCAUGCAGGUCAUACCGCCGGACCUCAGGUGUAUCGACUCCUUGCUCAGGCUCCCCCCAGCCUGCUCUUCUCACUCGCCUGACGCCCUAGCUCACCACUGCCGUGGCUGGCUCUGGGCUGGAUCACAGGCCACUGGGCUUUGGAAAGGGCCAGUCUGACCCAAGUCCAGAUACCCUGGAGAAGUAGGCCCUGAUCGGCAUGUUCGGGUACCCACCUGACAAUAACUGUAGCUACCUUUUCACUGAACAAAAUGGCUUUCUGGUAACCAGGGAGGUGGAUAGGUGGGGCAUUGAGGUAAGGGGACAGCAAUGCUAGAAUGAAUGUCCUUACCGAGCUUGUCUGCUUGUGUCAUUUUUACCCCUCUGCUCAGGCUGUUCUCCUGCCCUGAUUGCCCCCGCCGCCCCCACACCCCUUCAGCAGGCCAGCUCUUCCUCUCCGUGGAGACUCAAGUUGCCAUCACCUCCAACUGGAAGCCCCUCCUAUCCCUCCCGGCCCUCACAGCAUCCCCUCCGUUCUUGCUUCCAACCCUGUCAGCUCAUUCCAGCUCCUGAGAUACUUGAAAGACUCAUCCUGAGAGCUGGGGACCCAAAAGGUUCAGUAACUGUUUCCUGAAUGGAUCGAUUUUGAGAGCUCAGGUUAAGCAUGGGGGUUGACUUUUCAGAAAGGGAUCCCAGGACUUCCUUUCCAAUGUUUCUCACAUGACCGCAGGGUAGCAAGAGAGUUUCCAUGAGUUUCAAUCCACACUUCACCACACGCUCGUUGAACAAGUUCACCUAACCUCCUAGCUCCUAACUGCCUCAGUUUCCUCAUCUGUAAAAUGGGAAUACCAAUAGUACCUACUUCAAAGAGUUGUGAGGAACCAGUUAAAUAGUGCUUACCACAAUUCCCGGGACAUUGCAUGUGCUCAUUAUUUUAUGAUUAUUACUGUUACUAUCAUCAUAUGCCCACCCCACCCCCCGAACUCGAUGCUGUCCCCAGAGGCCCUGCAGAGGACAGGAUGCCACUCCCGGGCCCUUGGAGAUCUGUAAAGCAAUCAUCACUCCAUCAAUAAAACAAAGGCUGAGACUUUAACCUCA